rnacentral:rRNA from 1 species
AUUAUUGGGCGUAAAGCGCGCGCAGGUGGUUUCUUAAGUCUGAUGUGAAAGCCCACGGCUCAACCGUGGAGGGUCAUUGGAAACUGGGAGACUUGAGUGCAGAAGAGGAAAGUGGAAUUCCAUGUGUAGCGGUGAAAUGCGUAGAGAUAUGGAGGAACACCAGUGGCGAAGGCGACUUUCUGGUCUGUAACUGACACUGAGGCGCGAAAGCGUGGGGAGCCAACAGGAUUACCUCCCCUGGUCCUCCCCGCCGUCAACGAUGACUGCUAAGUGU